rnacentral:rRNA from 1 species
CUGCGGAGGAUCAUUAACGAGUUGAACGGGGUUGUAGCUGGCCUUCACAGGCAUGUGCACACCCCACUCAUCCACUCUACACCUGUGCACUUACUGUGGGUUUCGAGAGGCCGCGCUUGCGUGGUUGAUCGGGCUCACGUCUAUUACAAACUCUUCAGUAUCRGAAUGUGUAUCGCGAUGUAACGCAUCUAUAUACAACUUUCAGCAACGGAUCUCUUGGCUCUCGCAUCGAUGAAGAACGCAGCGARAUGCGAUAAGUAAUGUGAAUUGCAGAAUUCAGUGAAUCAUCGAAUCUUUGAACGCACCUUGCGCUCCUUGGUAUUCCGAGGAGCAUGCCUGUUUGAGUGUCGUGUAAUUCUCAACCUAUAAAUCCUUGCGGUUUUUAGGCUUGGACUUGGAGGCUUUUGCUGGCUUUACCGUCGGCUCCUCUUAAAUGCAUUAGCUUGAUUCCUUGCGGAUCGGCUCUCAGUGUGAUAAUUAUCUGCGCUGUGACCGUGAAGCGUUUGGCAAGCUUCUAACCGUCUCUUUGAGACAAACACUUUGACAUCUGACCUCAAAUCAGGUAGGACUACCCGCUGAACUUAA